ACAUCGGUAGCACAGUGGUUUUUGCAGUCUGCCGGAAACAUAAAGACGCGGGUUCAAUUCCCGUCCGAUGUC
rfam:Nippostrongylus brasiliensis genome assembly, scaffold: NBR_scaffold0000458